UACGAAGGGUGCUAGCGUUGCUCGGAAUCACUGGGCGUAAAGGGUGCGUAGGCGGGUUUUUAAGUCAGGGGUGAAAUCCUGGAGCUCAACUCCAGAACUGCCUUUGAUACUGAAGAUCUCGAGUUCGGGAGAGGUGAGUGGAACUGCGAGUGUAGAGGUGAAAUUCGUAGAUAUUCGCAAGAACACCAGUGGCGAAGGCGGCUCACUGGCCCGGUACUGACGCUGAGGCACGAAAGCGUGGGGAGCAAACAGG
rnacentral:rRNA from 1 species